rnacentral:rRNA from 1 species
GACGAAGGGCGCGGGUGUUAUUCGUUUUGAUUGGGUGUAAAGGGUAGGUAGGCGGUUUCUAGUUUUCUUUGGACAAAAGCGCGGAGUAUUCCUACGCGAAGUCCUUCUAAAAGCAGAUUCUUGUGUUGGAGAGGGGUUGAGGCAAGUUCGCUUUAGUAGGGGUAGAAUCCUUUAAUAUGCGAACGAACGUCAGUAGGCGGAGCGCUUUUCCAGCUUCAACAGACGCUGAGCUACGGAAGCUUAGGGAGCAAACGGGAGU